rnacentral:pre_miRNA from 1 species
UGUGGUUGAAUUGACCAAUUGUAGGGAGUCCUUUUGCCUAAGCGACUCCCUAAUUGCGUCGAUUUACCUACAU